rnacentral:rRNA from 1 species
GCUCCAGACUCCUACGGGAGGCAGCAGUGGGGAAUAUUGCACAAUGGGGGGAACCCUGAUGCAGCGACGCCGCGUGGGUGAAGGAGCACCUCGGUGCGUAAAGCCCUAUCGGCAGGGAAGAAAAGCGAACAGGUUCGCCUGGACGGUACCUGACUAAGAAGCCCCGGCUAACUACGUGCCAGCAGCCGCGGUAAUACGUAGGGGGCAAGCGUUAUCCGGAUUUACUGGGUGUAAAGGGGGCGCAGACGGCAGCGCAAGCCAGGAGUGAAAGCCCGGGGCCCAACCCCGGGACUGCUCUUGGAACUGCGCGGCUGGAGUGCAGGAGAGGUAAGCGGAAUUCCUAGUGUAGCGGUGAAAUGCGUAGAUAUUAGGAGGAACACCAGUGGCGAAGGCGGCUUACUGGACUGUAACUGACGUUGAGGCUCGAAAGCGUGGGGAGCAAACAGGAUUAGAUACCCCAGUAU